rnacentral:rRNA from 1 species
UACGUAGGGUGCGAGCGUUGUCCGGAAUUAUUGGGCGUAAAGAGCUCGUAGGCGGUUUGUCACGUCUGCUGUGAAAUCCCGAGGCUUAACCCCAGUCCUGCUUCCGAUACGGGUGGACUAGAGGUAGGUAGGGGAGAUCGGAAUUCCUGGUGUAGCGGUGAAAUGCGCAGAUAUCAGGAGGAACACCGGUGGCGAAGGCGGAUCUCUGGGCCUUACCUGACGCUGAGGAGCGAAAGCAUGGGGAGCAAACAGG